GUCAGGUGCUUCUUUUGUGAGCAUCUUUCUUCUUCCCUCUCUUCCCCUUAAUAAGUGUUUACCUGAUAAUAAGGGCCACAAAUCCAAAUGUUCCUGCUCAGCCACAUCAGGGAAAGAGGAAUUUACUUUAUAGUCAUGUUGUUGUCUGCCAAUAACUUGCUUUAUUUGAGUCAUGAAUGGUUUUCUUACUGGCUUUAACGAUCCCAGACGCUCUUCCUUACUUCCAAAAGACUCAGCAUGGUGACUACAUGGCAACGCACCUGAGAGCCCCCGCUGUGAUUCCCCAGAUCACAACAAGGCAUGGACACCAAACACGAACAGGAGCCAGCCUUUAAUGCUGAGCUGCAGUCACAUCCAUUACAGAAAAGGAGUGAGCAGCAACCAACAGAAUCUAAACUGCAAUAAAUCACAAGAACCAGAUGGCUUACUUAUCUGAGGAUCAAGUAAGAACUAAAGCCUGGACUACCAAAGCUGCAACACUACAAUACAUGAUGGACCAUUAGCAGCAGCUACUACACCUAGAGACUGCAGUGUUGAAGGCUGUGCCAGGCUUGGUGGUACAGCUGUGAUAGUAGCAGGAGAAACAGCUGUUAACAUCUCCGAAGCAGAGCUGAAAAGCAUUGAGAUGUAUUUAACAGAACUAGAACUGCUCAUGUAAGGGUAAAUCAUGCCUCCUUUGUCUGUUAGGAUGUUUUGAGAAAGCUGAGGAAGGAGU